rnacentral:rRNA from 1 species
GUGCACCAGGCGCGAAACCUCCGCAAUGCGGGAAACCGCGACGGGGGACCCCGAGUGCCGUGGCAACGCCACGGCUUUUCCGGAGUGUAAAAAGCUCCGGGAAUAAGGGCUGGGCAAGGCCGGUGGCAGCCGCCGCGGUAAUACCGGCGGCCCGAGUGGUGGCCGCUAUUAUUGGGCCUAAAACGUCCGUAGCCGGUCUAGUAAAUGCCUGGGUAAAUCGUGAGGCUUAACCUUACGAAUUCCGGGUAGACUGCUAGACUUGAGACCGGGAGAGGCUAGAAGUACUCCUGGGGUAGAGGUGAAAUUCUGUAAUCCUAGGGGGACCACCAGUGGCGAAGGCGUCUAGCUAGAACGGGUCUGACGGUGAGGGACGAAGCCCUGGGGCGCAAACCGGAUUAGAUACCCGUGUAGU